rnacentral:tRNA from 1 species
GUUUUAAUAAUUUAAAUAAAAUAUUGAUUUUGUAAUUCAAAAAUAAGAUUUUUUCUUUUAAAACU